UGGCCGUGUUCAGUCUAAGGUGCGUGCUCAUUUCUGAAAUUGCGGUGCUUCUCUGAUGUCUAGCUGGGUGAUCUAUCAUCUUAGAUUGAAGAAUUCUAAUUCUGAGGAGAUACUAAUGCUGAGAUCAGGUACUUCUUUUAUCCCUUAUAUAAUUAUGCUAUUUUUCAAUCACUUUUCUUAUAUAAUUGUGUUGUAGUACUUGCCAUCUGAAUAUUUAAUUGCUAUCUGGACUACAAUAUUGGUUUUACCUUUCCUUCCAUGGACAGUUACAUUUGUUGGGUUCUGAAAGCUCCCUUACCUCCUGUAUGUAGUCAGGUGAUAUGCAUGAAGAGGUGGAGACUCAUAACAGAAUGCUACGAUGAGCAGGAACAGUGAGCAGCCACCAAAUACUUGAAGUGUUUUAGUCAUGUGUUUUACCUUCAAUCUAAGAGCGCCAUAUGACUCUAGUUUUAAGAUAACAACAUAUUUGCUAUCUUAAAACUAGAGUCAGCGUCAAUAUUUUAGAAACAGUGU
rnacentral:lncRNA from 1 species